UUGGCAGCAUACCUAUUCGAUUUAAGUUUUUGACAAAUGUGCAUUUUCUUUUAACAAAGGUAGUUAAUUAAAAAACAACAAUACAAUUAGCUAUAAACAGAAAAUCUCCCCGAAAUACGUCUGCGACUUUAAAGUCAUAGUCAUAAACAACAUCAGCAGUUUUUUCUAAGUUGAAAAAAAAGUUUCGUUCUUUUAAAUACCUAUAAUACCGUAUGGUACAUAGUGUUAAGGUCCUUUCCCACUGGUGCGUUUGGAUUUAAGAAAUAUACUAUCUUAACGUAUUUGUAUGUGAUAAUUCCAAGUUUUCGGAAGAGUUUACACCGGUCCAGUCAUAUCAUGACCAAAUUUAAAUUGUGAGCACGAGCACUAAACCGAUCCGGGCGAUUGCCGUACAUUCAUCGUAAAUAUAAUCAAAAAGCUCACAGUUUGUUUUUUAAAUUUUAAAAAUGUAUAAUGAAGGAAUCAUCAAAUUAGGAAAUGACUUGAACCAGAGGGAUAGAACCUUAGAUCAUAGGCGGACAUUUGGUUGAAUUUUUUUUUUUUGGAGGGGCUAAAGAAUUCAAUGUAAAAUAAUCCGCAGGGGCUUCCCCCACAACCCCUUCCAAUGCACAAGUAAAACUUAUUAGGUAUUAAAAAUAUAGAUAUGUUUAAAUUGUA